rnacentral:misc_RNA from 1 species
UUAAGUUCAGCGGGUAUCCCUACCUGAUCCGAGGUCAAUUUGUGGGGGUUUGCUUACUGGAGAGCCCGUCCGCGCGACGCUCGACGCAUUCUGCUGCGUUUAGAGCCGAGGAACAAGCUGCCAACUGCAUUUGAGGCGAGUCCGCGCGCAAAGGCGGGACAGACACCCAUCACAAGCUGAGCUUGAAUUUGUAAAUGACG